AGAAAACAUUAUCUUUUUUAAGUGCACCCCGUCUAACGUACACACAACAAACCAAGAUAAUUAGAGCCUCAUGAUCGGUCCAUUCAUUUAGAUCUAACCGUUAAAAUAAUAACUAACCUUUAGCGAUAGUACGUCAACCAAUUUAAGGUAGCGGACGAAAACUCUGCCAUCGAGCAGACGAAAGAUUCGUUCAACAACCGCUUGAUCCCAUCCUCAAUUAGCGCUAAAUCCCACCACAAAAUUAGCGCUAACCCAAAAUUUAGCCCGUCGCCCUCACCGCGCCCCCGUUCCUGGGUCAGAGGUGGUUGUCUCGCCGUGCCCCCGUUCCUGGGUCAGAGGUGGUUGUCUCGCCGCCCCAUGCCACGGCAAUGGCAAUGGCGGCGUGCACGACGAUUUCCUCCACCAGAUGCUCGGCAGCCUGCCGCCCUCGGCUUGACACGACCAUGCCGCUGGGACGAAGCCUGAGGACCGCGCCCAGGCUGAUGGGAUAAAGCAGCAGCUGUUUAGAGGGCCGUACGACCUGUCGGUGAUGCUGGCGUCGCGGCUUUGGCAGCACCAGAUUAACGGCAUCCCGGCUGCGGCGUCACAGCGGCGAAGUAGAUGGUGCUACAGAACCUCGCCGAUCUGAGAUAGGGCCACUACAACAACAUGCUUCUCAAGGGCAUGGCUGCUCGCCAUCCAUCGGGGGCGACGACGGCGGCGAUGGCGUCCUGCUGCUCCCACUCACCCUUGGCAAGGGCGAAUCGGGCGGUGACGUGCGUGCAGCAGCAAACGGUGCCCAUGCCGAACCAGACCUUUGGCGGAGUAGGAGGUGCUCUGGCUGCAGGGCGCAACCACAACAAGCCGGGGGAGGAGGAGGUGCUCCGGCUGCAGGGCGCAACCACCACAAGCCGGGCGAGGAGGAGGUGGCGCGCCGGCGCCGCCGAGGCAGCGGGUGCGCGCGCGGCCAGGCCAGACCACCAACCCACACAGCACCUCGGAGGGAGUGAACUAUCUAUCGAGUGACACUCAUAUAGUUUUACUGUCAAUUUGGCCGGCAAUUAACCUUAUAGAAUAUAAAACCAAGGGGAGCAGUUAGUUUCUUAGCACUAAUCUGAUUAGUUUCCCGUGUUUUCGUCCUUUUAGUUGCCCAUACUGUUCUUGUUCUUCUCUACUCAUGUGCAGUUCUAUUUAGCUCCAUGGACCUCUCUUCCUCUAUAAACUGAAUGCUGGAUGAUUUAUUCUAAUUAAUUAACCAUCUGGUCCUUGUCGCAGUUUUGCCGGGAGAGGAUAGCCGAGAGGAUAAAGGCCCUGCAAGAACUGGUGCCCAAGGUGAGCAAAGAUAUCAGCUGGAGAACGAGGCACAGAUUAUGCUUGUAGCUAAGCUAGCUUAAUUGGAUUCUUCGAGAUCCAAGUGGUCGAAGAAGAUAGCUAUAUCACUAAGGGUUUUGGUUGGGAAGCUGCUGCUUUAUUAUUGCAUCAGUCAAUGCUGACCAGGAAUUAAAAUAAGGGCUUCAACAGAUGCCGAUGCAACAAAAAGGAUGGAGCCAUCAGAUGUCAAUGAAAAUGCUUAGUGCAAACAAUGGACUUCUCAAUUUUACGUGUGCCAUUUAAAAGAUGUUGUAGCUUUCGGACAUAUCAAACCUUGGAGCUGGAACAUUGGCUUAUCCCAA